rnacentral:lncRNA from 1 species
GUUCCAAAUCAAUUGUACAUACAUCUCCACCUCUACAACACAUAGUAAUACAAUAUCAAACAUUCCUAGAUAUUCAAUAUCCAGACUAAACCAUCCUUUCAAACUACUUUAAAUCACAAACAAAACUUGUGCCCUAUGGCACUACCGACGGGGCUCCGUUACCAGCCGCUCGGAUCCCAAUUCCGUCCUUACUCCACCUGUGAAUGAUGAGAAGUGAGUUCACAUAACUCAAUACGAUAAAAAUCAAGUUGUAAGUGUAAUAUGCAGUGACAAGAAUUUCCAGAAAUGUCUAUAUGCAUUUAUCCUACCCAACCCCAA